UUGUAUGAAGCUGAUCCGUCUAAAUUUGAAGAUAUCCGAAUAGUAUCUCAAGAUGAUGUCGAAUCCUUUCAUAUAUUCGGUAGGGAUGGAUUUGUAUGUGAAUGUUUGAACCCUCUGAACAUCGGUCCCCGCCACGCCGUCCCAGCGCGUCCCGCGCCCUUGAUGUUCGUUCGGCGGACCCCUCGCGGCCGGGUCUCCGUUCCUCCCGCGGGGUAGGGAUGGUUUUGUAUGUGAAUGUUUCUAAGUGAUCAUUCUUUUUUACAUAUAUAUAUAUGUUUUUUCCUUUUGGAAUUGCUCGGAUUGCGGACGGAAAUUUUUCCUUGCAGUACGGCAAUGAAAACGUCCUUACGUCAUUGCCGUACUUCUCUGCUUUAACAUGAUUUUUUGGAGUAACUUUAUAUUCCUACCGGAAACUCUCCCGUUGGUAAUGAAGGUAAGUAGGAUUUUAUAAAUAUUUUUAUUGUAUAGUAAAAAUUUAAAAUUUAAAAUGGAAUUUUGAAACAUGUCGACAAAAGUUUUUAAAAUUUUCCCAGUAUCCUCCUCAGUGAGGAGAACAGAUAUGUAUUCAUUUCCUAGGUAACUGCCAAUUUUCAAUGCAACUUUUCCUCUCUUAAGCUCUGAUCUUUGAUUAUUUUAGUCUGCAGGCAUCGUGAUUUUGGAGUGAUCCUUUGUUUACCUUCCCAAUAAAAUUUUUACCAAUGACUGAAAAUAAAGAUUUAAAAGUCCCCAUUAAAGAACUUAAUUGUUAUUCUCACGGUGUUACCAUCACAGCAGUAUUGAAAAGACUAACGCCCGUCCAUGAGCGUAAGACAUGUUCUCUUUUCUAUUUCACUUUACUCGAUAAUAGCGGAAGCAUACAAUGUGUAUGCUUCGAUAGCAGAAUACAUAACAAGAUUGCCGUGAGUAAUUUUUCUUUGAAUUUUGUGUUUUAUUCUUUUGUGAGUUCAUUACUAUUGAGCUUCCUCCUCAUUUUAAUCAAAAUUUUAUGGUUAAAACUUUUUUGGAAACUCAUAAUAUUCUGUAGGUGAUGUUUUGAGAGCACAAGUGUCGUAAGGAAAUUUCAAUGUUUUUAAAUUUCCGUGGGCGUAUUACUUAUUCCCGGAUAAUCUACUGCAUGAAAGUAUAUUAAAAUGUUUUCAGUGUUUUUGCGGGUAAUGGUAAAUUAUAUUAGUAAAAUUUCCAGAGUUAUUCAUAUAGUUGUUUAUCGGGGAAUAGGUAAUUAGUACGUCCACUGAAAUUCGGAGACAUAUAAAUACACAUUCGUCUCACGUGUCCUGGAGGCCUCAUUAUACGAUCUCGACGGUAAAUAACACGGGGAAUGUAUGACAGCUUGGAGCCAAAGAUGCGCCUUCCCGUGAGUUGCUGCAGCGUGGAUUGCACCAAGUAGUGAUAUUUUUGAUUUUAAAGGUGCGAUUUUAGCCUUCAAGCUGUCAUAUGUUCCCGGAACGGUUCCUGAUCGGCUCGACAGUAUAUGUGUCAAUGAGAUUGCAGAGAUGCAAACUUACGUGAUAUGAAUGAAAUUCAUGGAGUGAUCAAUUCUAAAUUCCGAAACAUAACAAUGCACUUAAAAAAUUCUCUUAUACAUUUGUUAAAUUUCUAGAGUUAUUUUGGAAAAGGAAGUUCUUUUCACACGCAUCUCUCAUAAUAGUUAUUUUAAUUAAUAUUUUGCAGAAUAUAAUAUUACGUACGAAGCCUUCAUUUGUCAUUUGUUCCCCGUAACGCUGCUCGAUCUCCAUAGUAUUACUAGGGGGCUAUGCCCCCUAGCCGCUACGCGACCCAAUCUUCUGAAGGUUCUCCUCGCUUUGGCUACUCAGCCACUGCGCAAGAUCUUCGCAUAGCGGCAGCAGUUCCGGAGCAUUCUGUAAAUGCGCUCACUUUUAUAACGUUAUUUUAAAUGAACCUGGGUCCUAUUUUCAAAACCUGAUUAGGGCGGGCUCACUUAGGGCUUACCACCUGCAAAAUAACGCCACGCACCUCUUAUAAUAGUUAUUAAUUUUUUGCAGAAUAAUAUUACGUACGAAGUUUCAAAUUUUCACGUUGAAAGGAACAAAUUGGACAAUAAGUUACAAAUAGUUGUCAAGUCUGAAACGAAGUUUUUGACUGUAGAAACAUUGGAGAUCCCAGAGGUAUCCUUUGUAUCCAUCCGAAAUAUCAUUGAUGUCAAGCAGGCAAAUGACUUAAUUGAUUUUAAAGGGAAGUUCAUUGACGUUCCUGUUGUCAAAAAGCUAAAGUUGAAGAACGGAGAAGAAUCGAGGAAA